rnacentral:rRNA from 1 species
UAACUUAGUGGCGAACGGGUGAGUAACGCGUGAGUACCUGCCUUGGAGUGGGGGACAACAGUUGGAAACGACUGCUAAUACCGCAUAAGCCGGCAUCGGAAAAGGAUUUAUCCUUCAGGAUGGACUCGCGUCCAAUUAGCUAGUUGGUGAGGUAACGGCCCACCAAGGCGACGAUUGGUAGCCGGACUGAGAGGUUGAACGGCCACAUUGGGACUGAGACACGGCCCAGACUCCUACGGGAGGCAGCAGUGGGGGAUAUUGCACAAUGGGGGAAACCCUGAUGCAGCGACGCCGCGUGGAGGAAGAAGGUUUUCGGAUUGUAAACUCCUGUCGUUAGGGACGAUAAUGACGGUACCUAACAAGAAAGCACCGGCUAACUACGUGCCAGCAGCCGCGGUAAAACGUAGGGUGCAAGCGUUGUCCGGAAUUACUGGGUGUAAAGGGAGCGCAGGCGGACCGGCAAGUUGGAAGUGAAAACUAUGGGCUCAACCCAUAAAUUGCUUUCAAAACUGCUGGCCUUGAGUAGUGCAGAGGUAGGUGGAAUUCCCGGUGUAGCGGUGGAAUGCGUAGAUAUCGGGAGGAACACCAGUGGCGAAGGCGACCUACUGGGCACCAACUGACGCUGAGGCUCGAAAGCAUGGGUAGCAAACAGGAUUAGAUACCCUGGUAGUCCAUGCCGUAAACGAUGAUUACU